GCCAGCUAACCCACCGCUCCCCGUCCACAGAACCGCCGUCCCUCAGUAUACCUGCCGACCCGAGAAUACCCGUCAGAGCAGAGUGAGUACUGGAGGGCUUCGCCUCCACACAACUAGAAAGGGCCCAUGGAGGGUAAGGGGUGAUCCUGGAGACAGCCCACUGUACCUAAGGCAGCAGACACUGGCUCUCCUCAGCCUGGACUGCCUUGCCCUCUCCUGCUAUCUGCAUAUCAGGAUUAUAAGCCGGGGCUACCCUAGCACAGCAGCACAUGAAACGGGCGAGGUGAGCCCACCUGCUAUCCCAGCUCUGGGUGCUGAGGCAGCAGGACCAGAGGUUGAAAUGUGAGUUUAGAUUCCUGGAGCUGUGUGAGAGCCAGGAGCCUUGACUGAGGUCUGUGGUGGGAAUCUGUCCCCACCAGGCAGUCUAGGGUCAGCCAGCCUCCUGCAGCAGAGAAUGAGGGCUCAACAAGGCCAGGGCCAGGCCAGCACCCAAGGUUGAUCUCUGGC
rnacentral:lncRNA from 1 species